rnacentral:rRNA from 1 species
AGAGUUUGAUCCUGGCUCAGAACGAACGCUGGCGGCAGGCUUAACACAUGCAAGUCGAGCGCCCAGCAAUGGGAGCGGCGGACGGGUGAGUAACACGUGGGAACAUGCCCUUCGGUACGGGACAACUCAGGGAAACUUGAGCUAAUACCGCAUACGCCCUAACGGGGAAAGAUUUAUCGCCGAAGGAUUGGCCCGCGUCUGAUUAGCUAGUUGGUGAGGUAACGGCUCACCAAGGCUUCGAUCAGUAGCUGGUUUGAGAGAGCGACCAGCCACACUGGGACUGAGACACGGCCCAGACUCCUACGGGAGGCAGCAGUGGGGAAUCUUGGACAAUGGGGGAAACCCUGAUCCAGCCAUGCCGCGUGAGUGAUGAAGGCCCUAGGGUUGUAAAACUCUUUCGGCGGGGAC